AUGGCCUCGGAUCCGCGCCGCCGUCGCCGGAGAACGUCGUCCGCCACCGGUUCUUCGAUCACAACUACCGGAUCAAGUUGCCCCGCCUCCGAUCUACCCGUUCCCGGCCACCCCAACCUCGCCUCGUCGUCGGGCGCGCAGAGAGACGGCCAUGGCCGCAAGAUUCCCGAGCGCCGCCGGCCAAGGUGGCCGACCGUGGCCGCCCGAUGCCCGAGCGCCGCCGGCCAAGGACACGCCGGCGGCGCGUCAACUGUGUGCCGCCCUCCAAACAGAGUACAGGAUUCUCUUCUUACAAGCACAUCAGUGCUGGAUACAGGAAGGAAAAGGGAAAGGAACUAG
rnacentral:rRNA from 1 species